CUGCAAGCCUGGCUUACGUACAAACACUGUACUGGAUGCUUAAACAAGAAAAUUAAAUAAACCCCUAAUUCAUCACUUUCCUUCAUCCUCCCUUUCACCUGUCACCCUACCUCCACCCCAAGUUUCACAGCCUAAACAGAAGAGAUCAAAAGACUGAAAUAUUAGUGAUAUUUUGGAAGGAAGAAUAGAUGGAAUCCAGAUGGAUGGAAACCUUUAUCUGAUUCUUGCACACAUGGCCACAGCUGGCAAUGUCUGAGGCCCCCUCAAAGGAUAAUGUGAGUUCCCCUGAACAAUCUGGGCAACAGAUGUCAACCAGGGAGAAGAUGCUGGCAGUAGGGUUCCCGGGAGUUGAACAUCUGCCUGACCUCCUACUGGGCUCUUCUAAUGCUGCAGCCUAAGGUGGCAGCUGUGGCUGUAGUAGAUGAAAUUCAGAACAUCUGGGGCAUUCUAUGGAGGAGAAAGAAACAAGCUUCUGGAAGCAGCAACAUAGAAGAACAUUAAUUCUCUCCCCACCCAGUCUC
rnacentral:lncRNA from 10 species